AUUCUCUUAUAUCAUUCUCUGUGGAGGUGAAUUUUGGAAUGCUUGACUGCUCAGGGGCAAGUGUUCUUCACAGUUUGGAGUUUCUUUUUACUCGGGUCAUGAACCAAGCCCUCAAAGCACAAGAGGAAGUACCAGGAGUACCAGCAAUGCUUCCACCAAAUAAAAGAGAAAUUACAGGAUAACCAUCUUGAAUGACAAUUUGAAUUGAGUGAAAAUUACAUCUUUGGAAAGUUCGACACAUUCUGCAAACAUCUGUACAAGAUCACAGACAUGGCCACCACCCUUGGCCUAACUAGAUUUUUGAAGCCUGCAGUUUAUGAAAGUAGAAGGUGCUGAGAAAAUAUGCAUGCUCUACCAAAAGAUUUUGACCAGGAUCAAAUCCAAGAUCUACAAUGUGUUUGACCACCGCAAAUGAGAGUUAAGGUCUCUUAUGACU